AUUUUUUUUAUAGUUAUUGAAAUUGUCAUAAACAUUCCUGGCCAUCAUUCAAGAAAACGUAAUGGAAAUCUGCCUGGCAUAAAAGUUUUGGGCAGCUGAUUUCUCCUUUGAAUAUCGCUCUGUGUUCCAGUUUAUGUCCAGUUUACUGAAUAAUUAGCUGAGGGUGGGGAACUGGCCAACAAUGCAAUAGCACCACAGCUAUUGCUUAAAGUAAGUCUUUGGAUCCUUUCUAAUUUAUUAAGGAAAAUAUGUACACAGGGACAGAGGCAUAGGACAGAGACGGUGGGGGCGGUCUGCCCUGGGUGUCAUGACUGAGGGGGGUGACAAAAUGGCAGGCAAGUGGGCGGCACACCUCGUGUCCGGCGGCAACAGCUCUUCUGACCCAGCGGCAGAGAGCAGCCCUCAGCUGUGGCGAGGUUCACACAGCCACAGCAGCUCCAUUCUCCUGCGGAAAGCAGGAGAAGAGUGAGCAGCAGCUUCCCUGCCCCUCUCCUACCCUGAACUGUGGGUCAUGGGAGGGCACCCUCCACGCCCCUCGCCCCU